rnacentral:rRNA from 1 species
ACGGGUGAGUAAUGUCUGGGGAUCUGCCCGAUAGAGGGGGAUAACCACUGGAAACGGUGGCUAAUACCGCAUAACGUCGCAAGACCAAAGAGGGGGACCUUCGGGCCUCUCACUAUCGGAUGAACCCAGAUGGGAUUAGCUAGUAGGCGGGGUAACGGCCCACCUAGGCGACGAUCCCUAGCAGGUCUGAGAGGAUGACCAGCCACACUGGAACUGAGACACGGUCCAGACUCCUACGGGAGGCAGCAGUGGGGAAUAUUGCACAAUGGGCGCAAGCCUGAUGCAGCCAUGCCGCGUGUAUGAAGAAGGCCUUCGGGUUGUAAAGUACUUUCAGCGGGGAGGAAGGCGAUGUGGUUAAUAACCGCGUCGAUUGACGUUACCCGCAGAAGAAGCACCGGCUAACUCCGUGCCAGCAGCCGCGGUAAUACGGAGGGUGCAAGCGUUAAUCGGAAUUACUGGGCGUAAAGCGCACGCAGGCGGUCUGUUAAGUCAGAUGUGAAAUCCCCGGGCUUAACCUGGGAACUGCAUUUGAAACUGGCAGGCUUGAGUCUCGUAGAGGGGGGUAGAAUUCCAGGUGUAGCGG